rnacentral:rRNA from 1 species
UACAGAGGGGGCAAGCGUUGUUCGGAAUUACUGGGCGUAAAGGGCGCGUAGGCGGCCUGUUAAGUCGAACGUGAAAUCCCUGGGCUCAACCCAGGAACUGCGUCCGAUACUGGCAGGCUUGAAUUCGGGAGAGGGAUGCGGAAUUCCAGGUGUAGCGGUGAAAUGCGUAGAUAUCUGGAGGAACACCGGUGGCGAAGGCGGCAUCCUGGACCGAUAUUGACGCUGAGGAGCGAAAGCGAUGGGGAGCGAACGAGG